rnacentral:lncRNA from 1 species
GGAGAAUUUGACUUACGUACAAGAGUCAUUGAGAAUUUUAGACGAAAAGUGCAAAUUCAGCGAAACAAGACAGUUUCACUUGUUAAUGUACUUUAGCAGAAUCAAACAGUAAAAGAGGCUACAUGGGAGAACGAGGAUCAAAUGCGUGCUCAAUAUCCUCAUUUAUUCAUUAUCUUAUCAAUUGCCAGCUGAAUUUCGAGGACGAAAUUCUUUUAAGAGUGUAAGAUUGUUACAACCCAAAUUUUCUAGUCAAAAUUCAAAUAUUGACUAGUCAAAGUCAAUUAAGGACUAAAAUGAAAUUAAAUAUUUUAUUGGGGUUUAUUUUAUAAUUAGCCAUAUAUGAGGGUUAAAUUGGCUACAAUUUAAAGUUGAGAAUUUACUUAUAUAUAUUUGGAAGUUUAGAAUUUAAAAGUUAUAUUCUAUUAAAGAAUAGGGACCUUCCUUAGCAAUUUUGAACUAGUGGCAUUUAUAUUCAAACCUUGACCAUUUUUUCUACAAAAAUCACACACAAACACACACUAAAGUGUGUUGAACGAGAGAGAUCGCAGAGAAGAGGAGAAAGGGAAGAAAAGAAAAAGAAAGGAAGAAAAAAAAAAGGAAAAGGAAAGAAGAAAUCUUGUGCCAACUACUUCAAUCUUGUUUAUUUAAUUCUUCAAGAGGUAAGGUUAAUAAUUUAUGAUUUAGUUUUUGUAAAUUUUUGUUUAGGGUUUUAAAUUUAUAGCUUAUACUUGAAAAAUAUGAUAAGGAAUCCAACUAUUUGAGUAUUUGGAGCUAGUUAUUCUAGUAGAUUGGAAAAAAUGAUAUUUAGAUAUUAGGGUUUUGUCAUAUAUAGCUAAAUCCGAAAAUUUGGGGAAAUAUAAAAAUUCUUGUUAUUUUUCCUUGUGAUUGUUUUAUGGUGUUAUUAAGUUAGAUUAGUUGAAAAUAACUUAUCUUAUGCUUGAAUUCUCACUUUGGAUGAAUAUGGAGAAUAUAAGAAAGGAGCUUUUGACAAGAUUUAUGUAUUUAGUUAAAAGAGAAUUUAAAUAAGGAAUGUGGAUGAUUAUUAUCAUAAAAAACUUGUUGAAUCUUUACGGGGCAACCGGAAAAGGUUAGUAUUAAAGAGUGAGGGAUGUAGAGUGAUUUGAAAUUAAGUGAACGUAUGUUUAAGUAACCAAAUAAAAAAAAUAUUAAGUCUCAGCUUAUUGCUUAUUGAGGGAUGUAUAUAUUUUAUUUUAGUUUGAUGAUAAGAAAGGGUUAUUAUUGAGAAAUCCCUUGUAACUGUAUAUGGAUGGAAUUGAAGUAGCUUAUAUUUAUGAUCGUUUCAGGAGGGGAUUUGGACGUGGGAACAGCAUACCAGCCCCGUUAGUCCAGCCUAUUCUUAUGAG